rnacentral:lncRNA from 1 species
CAAAUCUUACGAAAACGACAGGUAAAAGAAAAUAGAUUGAAACAGCUAAGCCAUGACAUCAGUUUCUCGGCCCCCAAGACUAAUCAGGCUGGUUAUGAAAAGUCGUUUACAACCCAUUUAGCCACAAGUAUAAGUGUCACACCACCGCAAAGCCCUCAAAACAUCCAAUAUUUCUCUCUUUGCAGUGACUGCUAGUUAGUGAUGAAACAAACUGAGCUUGUCUUCAUCCCACUUCCGAUCAUUGGCCACCUUUCACCUACAGUGGAGAUGGCAAAGCUGCUUACUCAGCGAGACCCCCGAUUCUCAAUCACGAUCUUCAUCAUGAAGUUUCCGUUUGGGUCCAUUGAUAGUAUGACCACGGACUCUGAUUCCAUACGUUUCGUCACACUUCCUCCUGUAGAGUUCAGCUCCGGAGCGACGACGCCUGGUCCCUUCAUGUCUGAAUUCAUCAAAGCUCAGACACUACUCGUCAGAGACGCAGUCCACGAGCUCACUCGCUCCAACUCGGUUCGGCUCGCUGGGUUCGUUAUUGACGCGCUCUGCACCCACAUGAUUGAUGUGGCCGAUGAGUUUGGGGUGCCUUCCUAUCUCUUCUCCACUUCCAGCGCCGCUUCUCUUGGCUUCCUGUUGCAUCUUCAGUUCCUCCAUGACUAUGAGGGGUUGAAUCUUGAUGAGUUCAAGGACUCGGAUGCUGAGUUGCAGGUUCCGAGUUAUGCUAACUCGGUUCCAGGUAAGGUCUUCCCUCCUAUGAUUUUUUACAAGGAACUCGGUGGGGCUCCGGGGUAUAUGUAUCAUAUGAGGAGAUUAAGACAAGCCAAGGGUGUUAUGGUAAAUACAUUUAUUGAUCUUGAAUCACAUGCUAUUCAAUCAUUUUCUGGGAGUAAAAUACCGCCGGUGUAUCCCGUUGGACCCAUUCUCAACACCCAAAUGGGAUAUGGUGGGGAUCAACAAGAUGCUAGUGCCAUCAUGAGCUGGCUUGAUGAUCAGCCCCCAUCGUCAGUUGUUUUCCUUUGCUUCGGGAGCAUAGGAAGCUUUGGUGCGGAUCAGAUCAAGGAGAUAGCAUAUGGGUUAGAGCGCAGUGGGCAUCGCUUCUUGUGGUCCCUUCGCCAAGCUCCCCCAAACGGUAAAAUGGCAUUUCCAAGGGACUUUGAAAAUAUUGAGGAAGUUCUACCGGAAGGGUUUUUACCGCGGACGGCUGGAAUUGGAAAGAUGAUUGGAUGGGCUCCACAAGUAGCGGUUUUAGCUCACUCAGCUGUUGGAGGAUUUGUUUCUCAUUGUGGAUGGAAUUCUCUCCUAGAAAGCAUAUGGAAUGGUGUUCCAGUAGCCACAUGGCCAAUGUAUGCGGAACAACAAAUCAAUGCAUUUCAAAUGGUGAAAGAUUUAGGAUUAGCAGUAGAAAUUAAAAUUGAUUAUGAUAAGGAUAACAGCUAUAUUGUAAAUGCUCAUGAGAUUGAAAACGGAUUAAAGAAAUUGAUGAGCAUUAAUAGUGAAGUGAGGAAGAAAAUGAAUGAAAUGCAACAAAUAAGUAGAAGAGUUAUGAUAGAUGGUGGAUCCUCGCACUCUUCUUUAGGUCAUUUUAUUGAAAACGUAAUGACUAAUAUUCCAUAACCUAAUGUAUCGUAUCGUUAUUUUACCAUAUGUUUUUAUUUCAAUGCUGAUGUAAUUUCUUUGAUUUCGAAAUCUAUAAGAAAGUUUGUUCUCUUUUUAUCAUUUAAUGAAGAAAGUUUAAAAUGACAUAAAUUUAAUCAUAUGAAGAUCUCAGUUGUUAAUGAAUGCACAAUUGAUAAUCUUCCGGAGUUAAGUUAAUUAUAAAAUAACAAUAUAAUUUACAAUCAACAAAGUUAUUAAAAUUGUUUUAUUAAGGUCAAUAGUAAUAGUACCAUUGGGAAUUUGAUGGUCCAAUUUGAACUUGGACUCCUAAAAGUCUAUUUUAUUAUAGUAAGUACUAGAAUUUGUUCAAUUGGAUCACUAUUAAGGUUGGAAAGAGAAAUGUCAAGAUGAUCAUUAAUUUUGUAACAUACAUAAUUAAGUAAUAAUUAAUAGGAAAUUACUUUUUCAAGACCUAUUAAAUUAAAAUUAAAAUUCAAAAAAAAAAAAAGUUAGGUGAAUAAACAAAAUAAUAACUUUUAUAUAAAUAAAAAAAUUAUUAAAAAAAAUGAGGAGUUCACGUGCUUUCAAAAAUUCCAUGUAAUAAAAAUGCUUUUAACUUCAAAAUUUUAAUCUAUUGUUUUUUUGAAGGGAAAUUUGUCUUAUUUAUAUAAGAAUUUUUAGUAGUUUGUUAGUUUAAUUAUGUAGGACAUGGACCUUAAGCAAACUCUUCGGGUCAUAUUAUUUUAUUGUGUUUCCUUUUCAAAUAGGAGUUGACAUAAGUACCCUUCUCUACAUACACUAUGAAGUGAUCGGACUACCCUCAAUUGUCAUCAAAAUUUCAUGUAUUUACCUCAUGUAGCGUCCAAUUCUUCACAUCCUCAUAUGUGACAUUCGACAAGUUUUUCAACACCUACAUCAUACACUAUAACACCCCAAAUUAAUUUUUAAGGUUAGAAACACAAACUAGAAAUACAAUAAAUAAAUAAAUAAAUAAUUUUAGUAAGAGUAGAAAGUUCUUUUUGUAUUUAAAAACCCUAUAAAAUAUAUUUUUCUUGUCAUCUCUUUACAUAAACCCUUUGUGCAUAGAGAUAAGAGAAAUUAGGAAACGCGGGACUGAAGAUUUAGGGAUUUAGGGUUUGAAGAUCAGUUUUUUGGAUAAUAUUUUUAACCUUAAGAUUAGCAUUUUAUAUUCAUUAAUUAAUUUUGAAUAUUUUUUAAAAAAAAUUGAAAGAUCUCAAUAUAGAUUAGGGUUUGUUAUUUAAUUUUUUUUUAGAUAAAAAAGAUUGGAAAUUUAUGAACAUAGGUAGAUUUAUUGAUGAAGAAUAACAUGUCCCUAAUUUAGUACCAUAAGAAAGUCAGCUAUGAAGGACAUACUGUUCCUGUCACAAGUAAGUUAUUUACAUAGACAAGAAAGUAAAUGGUGACAUUGUUGCAAUUGUAAAUAAAAAGAGAGGGAUCUUUUUAAUGAGACAUGGGAGGCUUGCACUAUUUUCAUGGUACCGAAGCUCUCUCCAUGCCUCAAGGGUUACUGCUCACUCAUCAUAGAUAUAUAUGGGAUCUUCUCACUUGCACCAAACUAGAUGGUGCCAAGGAGGUUAUUAUACAACUCUCUACACCUACCUCCUUUACUCUUCAUGAUAGCUUGCCCAUUUCAUGCACUGUUCAACAGGUAAGUAUCUACUUCGCUAUCUUAAGCACACUAUCCAUCAUGGUCUUCUCCUUAAGUGUCAUCAACCUUUGGCUCUAACGACCUUUUUUUUAUGUUGACUAGGCUGGCAAGAGGGAUGACAGGACCUCUAUACUACACAUAUUGUCUACCUUGGUGGUAAAGUUAUCUCUUGGUGCUCUCGCAAGCAAAAGUUUGUUGUUCAAUCUUCCGUGGAGGUUGAAUAUCAUGUCCUUGCUUGCAUAGCAAUAGAAUUCCUUUGGCUCAAAUCUCUUUUGGGUGAACUUAGCCUUCAACUCUCUAAGACACCUAUUAUAAAUUGUGACAACUUUGGUGCUACCUACCUUUCUAUCAAUUUCAUUUUUCACUCAAAAAUGAAGCACAUUGCUAUCAACUUUCACUUUAUGCAUGAUCAUGUUAUCAAUGGGAAUCUCAUCGUAUCAUAUAUAUCUACUAAAGAUCAACUUGCAAAUGCUUUGACUAAGUCUUUGAGUUGACAACUCUUUCUUCAGCUUUGAGCAAAGAUUGGUGUCUUUUAUGGGAGCACCAUCUUGUAGUGGCAUAAUAGUGCAAAAUCCCAUCCUUACUAUCUUACAUAUUCACAUCCCAAUAUUCAAGCCUCACUAGCUCAGUCAAAAUCUCUAAAUGGAUGAAAUUCUGCAAUAAUCAAUGACUAAUUACAUGGGUCAAUUAUAAAUCAUUCAGGCAUAAUUUAUGGUAUCAUUUUUGUAAUUUUUUGUGCAUAAUAUUCUUACUAUGUAUUUAUAUAUAGUGUAUUGACUGUAAGUGAAUACAAGCUUUAUAAUAAGUAUUAUUUUUUUCUGUUAGCCCCAAAUGUAUGACUUUAUUGUUUGUUUUAUAUGAAAAUGACAGAAAUCUAGAACCACUCACUCUUGCCUCAAUCUUCAACAAAGGCCACAACAAAAGUAAAAGAAAAUAGAUUGAACCAUCUAAGCCAUGACAUCAGUUUCUCGACCUCCAAGACUGUUAGGCGUGUUAUGAAAAGUCGUUGUAAUGACUGCUAGUUAGUGAUGAAACAAACUGAGCUUGUCUUCAUCCCAUUUUCCAAUCAUUGGCCACCUUUCGCCUACAGAUUGCAAAGUUGCUUACUCAGUGAGACCCCCGAUUCUCAAUCACAAUCUUCAUCAUGAAGUUUCCGUUUGGAUCCAUUGAUAGUAUGACCACGGACUCUGAUUCCAUACGUUUUGUCACACUUCUCCCUAUAGAGAUCAACUCCGGAGCGAUGACGUUGUUCCCUUCAUUUCUAAAUUCCUCAAAGCUCAAAUAUUACUCGUCAGAGACGCAGUCCACUAGCUCACUCGCUCUAACUCGGUUCUGGUUGUUGGGUUCGUUAUUGACAUGCUUUGCACCCACAUGAUUGGAAAGGUGAUUGGGCUCCACAAGUAGCGAUUUUAGCCCACUAAGCUGUUGGAGGAUUUGUUUCUCAUUGUAGAUGGAAUUCUCUCCUACAAAGAAUAUGUUAUGGUGUUCAUGUAGCCACAUGACCAAUGUACGUGGAACAACAAAUCAACACAUUUCAAAUGGUGAAAGAUUUAAGGUUGGCAAUAGAAAUUAAAAUGUGUUAUAAUAAGGAUAACAUUGAUAUUGUAAGUGCUCGUGAGAUUGAAAACAGAUUAAAGAAUUUAAUGAGUAUUAGUAGUCAAGUGAGAAAGAAAAUGAAUGAAAUGCAACACAUAAGUAGAAGAGUUAUGAUAGAUGGUGGAUCCUCGCACUCUUCUUUAGGUCAUUUUAUUGAAAACAUGAUGACCAAUAUUUCAUAACCUAAUGUAUCAGAUUAUUACUUUAUUAUAUGCUUUAUUUCAAUGUUGAUGUAAUUUCUUUGAUUUCAAAAUUUAUAAAAAAAAGUUUGUUCUCUUUUUAUCAUUUAAUGAAGAAAGUUUAAAGGACAUAAAUUUAAUCAUAUGCAGAUCUCGAUUACUAACAAAUGUACAAUUAAUUAUCUUCAUGUAAGGAGUUAAAAUAAAUAAUAAAGUAAACAAUAUUAUUAAUAAUCAACAAAGCUAUUAAAAUUGUUUUAUUAAGGUGAUAGUAAUAAUACCAUUGGGAAUUAUCCGAUCCAAUUUGAGCUUGGACUCCUAAAAGUCCAUUUUAUUAUAGUGAGUACUAAAAUUUGUUCACUUGGGUCACUAUUAAUGUUGAAAAGAGAAAUAUCCAAAAUGAUCAUUAAUUGUCUAACAUACAUAAUUGUGAAACCAAGGUUUGGUUAAUCUUGAUUUUGAUGAUAACAAAAUAAGGUUUAAAACUAAUAAUCAUAUUUCAAGCGUGAUUAGGCAAGACGAUUUUCAAAGUGGCAAUCACAAAGACAAAUCAAGCCAAGGAGAAAUCAUGAAGAAGAAGACCACCUCAAAGAGAAGAGUUUUUCAAGACCCAAGCUUCAUAAGAUCUCUUUGUAAGGUUGUUGGUGCACUAGGAUUUUCAUACAUUUCAUUCUUUAUUUAUGCACCAAAAUCAUUCAAGAGUAAUAUUGUUUUAAAUAUCUUUAGAAUAGGAUGAUUUCAUGUUUUCAACUAAAACCUUGUGUUAAAUGAUUUUCAAACUUGUGUUAAAAGAUUUUAAGUUGAAAAAGGUUGGGUGUUGGACCAAAAAAUGGCUCAGCCGGUUCAACCAGUUGAGGAACCGGUCGACCGGUUGUGCUCGUCCGGUCGAGGGAGGCCAAAAAUUUUCUCUCUCUUCCAGUGGCCUUCUCUUCCCGGUCGAGGUGAUUCUCUUACUAGUCGAGGUCCGAUCGAGGACCGGUCGGGGUCCGGUUGAGGCCAAUGAUCACCUGCCAAGCAUUUAAUGCUAACGGCUAGUCAAUCGGUCGACCCUUAGCUUGACCAGUCGAACCCCCAAACGGCUAGUUUGGCUUUUCUCUUCUAUAAAAAUGCUCCAAUUUUCAUUGUUUAAAUAACUUAACAUUCCCAAAUCUUUCUUGAUUAUAUUUGAGUCUUGGAAGAGUAUUUUUUAGUGCACCAUUAUUUCAAAACUUGCAUAUCUUUAGUGCACCAUUCAAUCCUAGUUUUUAUUGUAUCAUUUGAGCUUAAAGUUCUUAUACUAGGAUUUUUGUGAGAUCUUUUAUUUGUAAAUCCUUGAGAGGAAGUUGUUCAAGAGUGGGAUAUCUCCUGAGAAGUGUAAAGGAUGCUUGGAGCCAAAAGUCCAAGAGGGUGAAUUGGAACCAUAAUCCAAUUGUAUUGCUUGAAGGCUUAGUUUGAAAGCCUUGGUUUAAUGGAACCUCAAACUUGGGAUUGAAGUUAAAGGAGAGUGGAUGUAGGCCGGGUUGCGUUGAACCACUAUAAACUCUUAUGUUUGCAUUUUUCUCUUCACUACUUUUUAAUUUAUAUGAAAUUGUCUAUAUAUUAAUUAUUAUAUAAUUGCAUAUAAUUUUUUUCUAUUUAUAUAAGAAUUUUUUAGUUUAAUUUUGUAGAACAUUAACCAUAAGCGAACUCUUCGAUUCAUAUUAUUUUAUUAUUUUUUCUUUUUUAUGUUUCCUUUUCAAAUAGGAGUUGACAUAAAUACCCUUCCCUACAUUGAACUACCCUUAAUUGUCAUGUAGUGUCCAAUUUUUCAUGUCCUCACAUGUGACAUUCGACGACCAUGUGGUGCUUCUAAUAUAUUCUCAAUAAUUCUUUAUAUCUCUAUGCAUGACAUUUGACAACUCCAAAGUAUGACAUGUGACGCUUCUAGUAUAUCCCUAAAUUAAUACUUAUAGCUUAGCUAAUGUAAUUUUUUUUUCUAGUCCAUUUGCAUAGUUUUGAGGUUAUCCAACUUUUCUAAUUAUUUUAAAUUAUUGGAAACUUAAUUAUUUUACUAAUGUUUUACUUUUUCUAAUUAUUUUAAAUUCAAUUGGUUUUUUAAUUGUUUUAUUUGUUUUACUAAGGUUUUACUUUCUCCAAUUAUUUAUAAUUUAAUUGAAUUUUUAAUUGUUUAAUUUAUUUAUUUUCAAAAAUUGAAAAAAAAAAAAGUAUCUAAAAAUCCAAGAUGUUACACAAUCAAUGUAGAGAAAAAGAAAAAGUAAAAGAAAUUUUAUAUAAUUCCAAAUAACAUAUCUUUUUUUUUUUCACAAAAAUCAAUACUAAUUCCCCUAACCUCAAAGAAACGCACAAUUUUUUUGAAAAAUUUAUUGUUAAAGAACUUAAUCAUCAUCUAACAUAAUAUAAAAAAUAAAUAAAUAAUCAUUACUAUUAAUUAUUUAGCUAAAAUUAUAAUUUGAUAUUCCUGAAAAUUGUAUAUAUCAUUAUUAUUAUUAUUAUUCCUCAUUAUAUUAAUUUAAUUAAUCUAUUCUUAAAUUUAGGUUGAGUUAGUAAAUUUCCCAUUUACCUAAAAUUACUAACCUCAAAACUUGAUGCUAUAAAUAUACCAAUUUGAUUUUAUUAAACCAAGAUUUUAUUUUAUUUAUUUAUUUAAAACUAAACAUUUUAUUAUACCAUCUCAUUACUCUUUUUUUUUUUUUUUUACUAAAACCUCAUUGAUGGCAUUAAAUUCUUCACCAGAAUUCAAACAUCACUAUAACUUUCUUUUAUUAUUUUAUCAUACCAUCCCAUUACUCCUCCUAUAUCUUGCUGGAAUGGAUCUUCGUUUGCAGCAUCAAAUUCUCCACUAGCAUUCAAACAUCACUGCGACACCUACAUCAUACACUGUAACAGCUCGAAUUAAUUUCCGAGGUUAUAAUGGUAAAUUAGAAAUACAAAAAAAUGAAAUAACUUUAAUAAGAGUAGAAACUUUUUUUGUAUUUAAAAACCCUAUAAAUUUCAUUUUUCUUCUCUUCUCUUUACAUAAACCCUUUUUGUAUAGAGAUAAAGGGGAAUUAGAGAACAAAGGCUUGAAGAUCAAUUUUUUAAACAAGAUUACUAACCUUGAGAUUAGUAUUUUAUAUUUAUUAAUUAGUUUUAGACAUUUAAAAUUUUUUUUGAAAGAUCUCGAUAUAGAUUAAGGUUUGUUAUUUAAAUUUUUUUUAGAUAAAAAAAAUUACAAAUAUAUGAACAUAAGUAGAUUUAUUAAUGAAAAACAACACGUCUCUAAUUUAGCACCUUAAGAAAGUUAGCUAUGAAGGAUAUGUUGUUCAAUCACAAGUCAUCCAUAUAGACAAAAAAGUAAAUAUGACAUUGUUGUUGCAAUUGUAACUAAAAAGAGAUGGAUUUUCUUAAUAAAAGACAAUGAAGACUUGCAUCAUUUUUUUGGCAUCGAAGUUAUCUCUAUGCCUCAAGGGUUACUACUCACUCAUCAUAGAUAUGUACGGGUGUAGAUCCUAAAAUUUGUUUUAAUUUUAUUUUUAUAUUAAUUUUGAUCAUAAUUUUAUUCUUAAAUUUUAAAUCUCGAAUACAUAUGAUAUUUUUGACCCAUGCACUAUUUAAUUCUUAAUUUUUAUUAUUAUUAUGUUUUUCUUUCUUUUUCUUUUUUUCUUUCUUUUCUCUCUCCUCUCUCCUCCACCUACCGCCCAUACACGUGGAGUAUAGAAUUUCAUGGGAGAAAGUGAAACUCGAAAAGCUGUAAAUAGAGCAUCGAACUUGUUGUAAGCUUAUUUAGGUACACAUUUUAUUACCUUAUUUUAUUUUAUUGGUUUUUAUAAAUAUUUAUUUGUAUAUAUUUAUUAAGUGUGUACAGAAUUGAAUAUCAAAUAAAUCAAAAAUUUUGUUUAAAUAAAAUGAAUAAUUCAGUAAACAUAUUUUAAUAAAAUAAUAAUUUUAAAAUAUUCUUCUUAAUAAAAGAAAGUUUUUUAUUAAUAAAAAUUCAUAAAAACGCUUUUAGAAAAAUCCAAAAAAAAAUGUUUUAAUAGAAUUUGAAAUUUUUUUUUUAAUAAUGAUUGUCCCAAAAUUACUUUGUUUAAUAAAAAUUGUCCAAAAAUUGUUUUAUAAAUAAAGUUGUCCCAAAAAUUAAUUUUUAAUUAAAAAUUAUUUUGCAAAUAAAGGUUUUUUUUUUUUUUUUAAUAAUUUGUAUAAGUCACUUUGGUGGUAAUGUUAUCUCUUGGUUCGCAAGCAAAUGUCUGUUGCUCAAUCUUCCACGGAGUUUGUAUAUCAGGCCCUUGCUUGCACAGUUGCCGAAGUCCUUUGGUUCAAAUCUCUUUUGGGUGAACUUAGCCUUCAACUCCCUAAGACACUUAUUAUAAAUUGUGAUAACAUUCAUGCUACCUACCUUUCUAUCAAUUUCUUUUCACUCAAAAAUGAAAUACAUUGCUAUCAAUUUUCACUUUGUGUGUGAUCAUGUUGUCAAUGAAAAUCUCAUCAUGCCAUAUAUCUCUACCAAAGAUCAACUUGCAAAUGCUUUAACUAAACCUUUGAGUCGACAACUCUUUCUUCGGAUUCAAUCCAAGAUUGGUGUCUCGAAUGGGAGCGCCAUCUUGCAGUGGUGUAAUAGUAUAUAAUCUAGUUCCUGCAAUCUUACAGCUUCACAUCCUGAUAUUCAAGCCUCACAAACUCAACCAAAAUCUCUAAAUGGAUGAAAUUUUUGUUGUAAUCAAUGACUAAUUACAUGGGUCAACUAUAAAUCAUUCGGCCAUAAUUUAUGGUAUCAUUUUUGUAAUUUUCUGUGCAUAAUAUUCACUCUGUAUUUAUAUAAUGUCUUGACCGUAAAUGAACACAAGCUUUCUCAUCAGUGUUAAUUUCUUUUUCUGUUAGCCCCAAAUAUUGUUUGUUUUAUAUGAAAAUGACAGAAAUCUAGAAGCACUGACUCUUGCCUCAAUUUUCAACAAAGGCCGACACAAAUCUUACAGAUACGACGAGUAAAAGAAAAUAGAUUGAAACAGCUAAGCGGUGACAUCAGUUUCUCGGCCCCCAAGACUAAUCAGGCUGGUUAUGAAAAGUCGUUUAUAACCCAUUCAGCCACAAGUAUAAGUGUCACACCACCGCAAAGCCCUCAAAACAUCCAAUAUUUCUCUCUUUGCAGUGACUGCUAAGUUAGUGAUGAAACAAACUGAGCUUGUCUUCAUCCCACUUCCGAUCAUUGGCCACCUUUCGCCUACAGUGGAGAUGGCAAAGCUGCUUACUCAGCGAGACCCCCGAUUCUCAAUCACGAUCUUCAUCAUGAAGUUUCCGUUUGGGUCCAUUGAUAGUAUGACCACGGACUCUGAUUCCAUACGUUUAGUCACACUUCCUCCUGUUGAGAUCAGCUCCGGAGCGACGACGC